rnacentral:rRNA from 1 species
UCCUACGGGAGGCAGCAGUGGGGAAUUUUGGACAAUGGGCGCAAGCCUGAUCCAGCAAUGCCGCGUGAGUGAAGAAGGCCUUCGGGUUGUAAAGCUCUUUUGUCAGGGAAGAAACGGUUCGGGCUAAUAUCCUGGGCUAAUGACGGUACCUGAAGAAUAAGCACCGUCUAACUACGUGCCAGCAGCCGCGGUAAUACGUAGGGUGCAAGCGUUAAUCGGAAUUACUGGGCGUAAAGCGUGCGCAGGCGGUUGUGCAAGACAGAUGUGAAAUCCCCGGGCUCAACCUGGGAAUUGCAUUUGUGACUGCACGGCUAGAGUGUGUCAGAGGGGGGUAGAAUUCCACGUGUAGCAGUGAAAUGCGUAGAGAUGUGGAGGAAUACCGAUGGCGAAGGCAGCCCCCUGGGAUAACACUGACGCUCAUGCACGAAAGCGUGGGGAGCAAACAGGAUUAGAUACCCUGGUAGUCCACGCCCUAAACGAUGUCUACUAGUUGUCGGGUCUUAAUUGACUUGGUAACGCAGCUAACGCGUGAAGUAGACCGCCUGGGGAGUACGGUCGCAAGAUUAAAACUCAAAGGAAUUGACGGGGACCCGCACAAGCGGUGGAUGAUGUGGAUUAAUUCGAUGCAACGCGAAAAACCUUACCUACCCUUGACAUGUCUGGAAUCCUUGAGAGAUCAGGGAGUGCUCGAAAGAGAAUCAGAACACAGGUGCUGCAUGGCUGUCGUCAGCUCGUGUCGUGAGAUGUUGGGUUAAGUCCCGCAACGAGCGCAACCCUUGUCAUUAGUUGCUACGAAAGGGCACUCUAAUGAGACUGCCGGUGACAAACCGGAGGAAGGUGGGGAUGACGUCAAGUCCUCAUGGCCCUUAUGGGUAGGGCUUCACACGUCAUACAAUGGUACAUACAGAGGGCCGCCAACCCGCGAGGGGGAGCUAAUCCCAGAAAGUGUAUCGUAGUCCGGAUUGUAGUCUGCAACUCGACUACAUGAAGUUGGAAUCGCUAGUAAUCGCGGAUCAGCAUGUCGCGGUGAAUACGUUCCCGGGUCUUGUACACACCGCCCGUCACACCAUGGGAGCGGGUUUCACCAGAAGUGGGUAGCCUAACCGCAAGGAGGGCGCUCACCACGGUGGGAUUCGUGACUGGGGUGAAGUCGUAACAAGGUAGCCGUAUCGGAAGGUGCGGCUG